UGGGGAAUAUUGGACAAUGGGCGAAAGCCUGAUCCAGCCAUGCCGCGUGUGUGAAGAAGGUCUUCGGAUUGUAAAGUACUUUAAGUCGGGAGGAAGGGCAGUAAGCGAAUACCUUGCUGUUUUGACGUUACCGACAGAAUAAGCACCGGCUAACUCUGUGCCAGCAGCCGCGGUAAUACAGAGGGUGCAAGCGUUAAUCGGAAUUACUGGGCGUAAAGCGCGCGUAGGUGGUUCGUUAAGUUGAAUGUGAAAGCCCCGGGCUCAACCUGGGAACUGCAUCCAAAACUGGCGAGCUAGAGUAGGGCAGAGGGUGGUGGAAUUUCCUGUGUAGCGGUGAAAUGCGUAGAUAUAGGAAGGAACACCAGUGGCGAAGGCGACCACCUGGGCUCAUACUGACACUGAGGUGCGAAAGCGUGGGGGGCAAACAGG
rnacentral:rRNA from 1 species